UCUGUUCCUCAACUGAAUUUCAAAUAAUUUCUCUCAGAAUUUCAGCUUUCGUAGGAAUAGGAAGAGCAAUAUUCUUUUUUGGCCAAGUGUGAUUGGAUACACAAGGAAUUUAUUUCAAGUGCAUAAGCUCUCAGUGUGCAUACAAAAACAAGUUGGGCAUAACUUUUUAUGUGGGAAAAAACCCAGAGGCCUUCAAAAAAAAAAAAAGAAAGAAAAGAAAAGAAAAGAAAGAAAGAAAGAAAGAAAGAAAGAAAAUAAAAGAAAAACAAGCUGAAAUGCUGUAAUUUUCUUCACCAGAAUGCUGAAAAGAAUACAGAUUUUCAUGGCAACAGUAAGUGUUGAGAUAUUGGGACACUAUGGGUUCUAAGCCUCUCUUGAGCACAAAACCGGCUGGUGACCUUGGGCCAGUCUCUCUCGCUUAGCUCAGCCAACUUCUAAAGAUU